rnacentral:snRNA from 1 species
ACAGUUCCAUGGCAUAACGAUUGCUAAGAUCAAGUGUAGUAUCUGUUCUUAUCAGUUUAAUAUAUGAUAUGUGAGCCCUUGGCUCACAUGAUAUUAACUUAAUUUUUCUAGGGAAAGGCCCAUCAAGAUAGCUUAUAGCUUACUGGCAAAUUAUGCUGUGCAUCCGUAUGCACCAUGCAUGGUGCAUACGGAUGCAAA